rnacentral:tRNA from 1 species
GCCCGGGUGGUGGAACUGGUAUACACGAAGGACUUAAAAUCCUUUGCCCACAAGGCAUGCGGGUUCGAUUCCCGCCUCGGGCACCA